ACUUUUAAAGAGUAACAUAUUUGUUAUAUUUUGAGUGCACUUUAAAAGCGUAGCCUAAUGUAUCUAGGCCAAAUGCACCCAAACACUUAGUAAUUUUUCUUUUCCUUAUCACCAAAUCACACUUACCUUCGAAUACCCUCACUUUCGCCAUCUGAUCAGAAAAAAGUUUCGCCCCUCACCUUCGCAAAUCACCUUUGAAUUAAUUGUUCAAAACCCUAACCCUAACACACCCACACCCACACACUCACACUCAUUCUCACCAUCACUCACCACCACCACCACGCCCCCUUUCACACACACACACACCCAGAUCCGAGAGAAAGAGUAAACCAGAGGGAGGAGAGGAGGGAGACGGAGAUGAGAGAGCGCAAUCGAGAGAAUACAGAGUGAGAGGGGGUCACCGCCACAACGUCGCUGCAGCCGCCGCCAUUGCCGUCAUGGAGUAGGGAGCCCGAAGGGGGGAGAGAGACGAUUUGCAAACGAGAUGGAGAGAGAGGAUGAAGAUGCGACGCAAGAGAGGAAGCUGUUCCGCCGUGCACUGUCGUUGCUCCUGGGGUCGAUUGAAGCCGCCGCCGCAGCUAGGGCUUGCCGUGCUCCUGGAACAAUGCUGAUCGAUUCCUGAAUUGGAGCACUAGGUUCCAAAUUGUUCUAGGCGUGGCAAGGGGAUUGCAGUACCUUCAUGAGGAUUCAUAUCUAAGAAUUGUUCACCGAGACAUCAAAGCAAGCAACAUUCUUCUUGAUCAUAAGUUUAAUCCCAAGAUUGGAGACUUUGGCCUUGCCAGUUUCUUCCCUGAAGACCAAGCUUAUCUUAGCACACAAUUCGCUGGAACAUUCGCCAAAAGGGCUGUUUUCGCCGGAGCCAGAAUAUUAUCGAGGACCAAAGCUGAAAGUUGCCAUCAUUGGAUUUGGGCUUUCUGGCAUGUCAACUACAGUGGAACUCUUGGAUCAAGGACACGAGGUGGAUAUAUAUGAGUUGAGGACUUUUAUUGGUGGGAAAGUUGGUUCUAUUGUUGAUAAGAAAGGAAACCAAAUUGAAAUGGGAUUUCUUACAAAUAGAAGUUGGUAAACUGACUUGAUUGAUCCCGUCUUUGAAAUUCUCCAGCCCCUCUG